rnacentral:siRNA from 1 species
AUGUAAGAGAGGUGAUAUUGA